AGAGUUUGAUCAUGGCUCAGGAUGAACGCUGGCGGCGUGCCUAAUACAUGCAAGUCGAGCGAACUGGUUAGAAGCUUGCUUCUAUGACGUUAGCGGCGGACGGGUGAGUAACACGUGGGCAACCUGCCUGUAAGACUGGGAUAACUUCGGGAAACCGAAGCUAAUACCAGAUAGGAUCUUCUCCUUCAUGGGAGAUGAUUGAAAGAUGGUUUCGGCUAUCACUUACAGAUGGGCCCGCGGUGCAUUAGCUAGUUGGUGAGGUAACGGCUCACCAAGGCAACGAUGCAUAGCCGACCUGAGAGGGUGAUCGGCCACACUGGGACUGAGACACGGCCCAGACUCCUACGGGAGGCAGCAGUAGGGAAUCUUCCGCAAUGGACGAAAGUCUGACGGAGCAACGCCGCGUGAGUGAUGGAGGCUUUCGGGUCGUAAAACUCUGUUGUUAGGGAAGAACAAGUACGAGAGUAACUGCUCGUACCUUGACGGUACCUAACCAGAAAGCCACGGCUAACUACGUGCCAGCAGCCGCGGUAAUACGUAGGUGGCAAGCGUUAUCCGGAAUUAUUGGGCGUAAAGCGCGCGCAGGCGGUUUCUUAAGUCUGAUGUGAAAGCCCACGGCUCAACCGUGGAGGGUCAUUGGAAACUGGGGAACUUGAGUGCAGAAGAGAAAAGCGGAAUUCCACGUGUAGCGGUGAAAUGCGUAGAGAUGUGGAGGAACACCAGUGGCGAAGGCGGCUUUUUGGUCUGUAACUGACGCUGAGGCGCGAAAGCGUGGGGAGCAAACAGGAUUAGAUACCCCAGUAGUCC
rnacentral:rRNA from 1 species